CUUUUCAGAGUUGAGUACUCAGAUUUAUUUGAUACGAUGAUUCUCACCUGAAUAGGAAGAUCUGAUGC
rnacentral:snoRNA from 1 species